AUACAGAGGGUGCAAGCGUUAAUCGGAAUUACUGGGCGUAAAGCGUACGUAGGCGGUUGGUUAAGUUAGAUGUGAAAGCCCCGGGCUUAACCUGGGAACUGCAUUUAAAACGGGCGAACUAGAGUUGAGUAGAGGGGAGUGGAAUUUCAGGUGUAGCGGUGAAAUGCGUAGAGAUCAGAAGGAACACCAGUGGCGAAGGCGACUCCCUGGACUCGAACUGACGCUGAGGUACGAAAGCAUGGGUAGCAAACGGGAUUAGAAACCCCAGUAGUCC
rnacentral:rRNA from 1 species